CACCGAAAGAGAGCCCGUGGAUCUGGAAUUCUCAACCGGUGAAGUGUCAUAUGCUCUAUAACUGUGAUAUUCCGCUCUUCUCCAAAAUUUAAAGAAAAAGUCACAGAGAACGUACCUGGGCCAUGGGAUGCGUCGGAAGGGCACAGACUUACAAGCACACAGGCGCCGAUUCCAGUCCAGAGCCACUUGUUUGUACGACCUCAGGUGAAAUGAAUACAAUAACCUCCUUCAGGAAGUCCAACAGUCUUUAGAUUUGGAGGAAUCAACCGAUGAAGCUGACUGCUGUGUCCAGCAUGUGCAAGGGGAGGAAUUUCAGCUCAGCGAGGGCUCCCCUGGAUCCACCGGCCUCAUCAACCCUCAGAUGGACUUCAGGAAUGGGGAAUGCAGCCUGGCAGCUUGGAUGGCCUGAGUGGAGGGGAGGGGACAGCUCAGCCACAAAACCCAGUUCUUGGCUCUUGGCCUCUUGGCAGGUUUGGAAAAGCUCCUUGUGAGUGGUGGUUCCCAUGACAUCUCCUAGGGACUGAAGCAUGCCAUUGUCUGUUCUUGUCUGUAGAGUUUGGAUCUCUCUUCCUUUAGUUCCUGAACCCGGGAAGUUAAUUCCUUUAUCAGCAUCAAGUUGGUCCCCUUCACACUUUUGUAACCAUCUAUAAGGCUGGGUAUAUUUAAAGAAUCCUUCUCUUGUCUGGGGUUCUAUGAAGAUGACUCAGUCUCUCCAUACUGCUUUUCAUCUGCACUAAGCUUGUCAAUAAGUUGGCAUUUUUCCUGAAUCUGAGCAGCCAGUGUUUCUGCAAGCUGCUUUUCUUGUCUUCGAACAGACUGAAGAAGUCUGGGUAAAAAUAAAAGACCCACCAAUAAGUUGAUAACAGGUGGACGUGCCAGUGUCUCCCACUGCAGGCUGUGGAAAGUGAGCUGUGGACUCAGGCCAUCAAUCAAUAGCUCCACCACCACCUCUCUUAGCUUCUUGAAGGUCAGCCCAAAGCCAAACUCCACAGAGGAUCGCAGCCCCUCCAUGGCACUGCAGCUACCGCAGGGCUCUGUCCCAUAACUGUGGAUCUGGCAGCCACGACAAACCCAGGAAACCCCUCAACAUUCCACCAGGAACUCAACCAAUAACAGGGAGCCUGGACUAGUAACCUAUACGAUCGGGCUGAAGGAGGGUUGGGAGAUUAGUAAAUAAAAUGGGUUUGUCUCUGUUA